GGUGAAAGUCCUGUGUUUGUUUGACCCAUCCACCCCGAUACCUCGCUCCUUACAUGGAAUUUGGCGCUCUUAAACUUUGUCACCUCACUUCCUGCUUUGCUCCCAUAAUACUCAUGCCAGGCCGCCACUAUAAACGUUAAUAUGAGUCGUAAUUGCUGCUUUGACCAAACAACCUAUGGGAGCGUUUUUUGGAAGAGUAAAAAAGG